GAAGUCUGAUGGAGCACGCCGCGUGAGUGAAGAAGGGUUUCGGCUCGUAAAACUCUGUUGUUAGAGAAGAACAGCCGUGAGAGCAACUGCUCACGGUAUGACGGUAUCUAACCAGAAAGUCACGGCUAACUACGUGCCAGCAGCCGCGGUAAUACGUAGGUGGCAAACGUUGUCCGGAUUUAUUGGGCGUAAAGGGAGCGCAGGCGGUUUAUUAAGUCUGAUGUGAAAGCCUUCGGCUUAACCGGAGAAGUGCAUCGGAAACUGAUAAACUUGAGUGCAGAAAAGGAUAGUGGAACUUCAUGUGUAGCGGUGAAAUGCGUAGAUAUAUGAAGGAACACCAGUGGCGAAGGCGGCUAUCUGGUCUGUAACUGACGCUGAGGCUCGAAAGCAUGGGUAGCAAACAGGAUUAGAUACCCUGGUAGUCCAUGCCGUAAACGAUGAAUGCUAGGUGUUGGAAGGUUUCCGCCUUUCAGUGCCGCAGCUAACGCAUUAAGCAUUCCGCCUGGGGAGUACGACCGCAAGGUUGAAACUCAAAGGAAUUGACGGGGACCCGCACAAGCGGUGGAGCAUGUGGUUUAAUUCGAUGCUACGCGAAGAACCUUACCAGGACUUGACAUCUUCUGCCAAUCUAAGAGAUUAGACGUUCCCUUCGGGGACAGAAUGACAGGUGGUGCAUGGUUGUCGUCAGCUCGUGUCGUGAGAUGUUGGGUUAAGUCCCGCAACGAGCGCAACCCUUGUCUUUAGUUGCCAGCAUUAAGUUGGGCACUCUAGAGAGACUGCCGGUGAUAAACCGGAGGAAGGUGGGGAUGACGUCAAAUCAUCAUGCCCCUUAUGUCCUGGGCUACACACGUGCUACAAUGGGCGAUACAACGAGUUGCGAAACCGCGAGGUCAAGCUAAUCUCUUAAAGUCGUUCUCAGUUCGGAU
rnacentral:rRNA from 2 species